CUCCGCUCUGCGGCUGAGACCACCCGCCCCUCCCUCCAAACCAGCGUCACGUGGUCCCGUUUCCCAGAGCCGCCUGCACGCACAGGAAAGCAACUGUCUUUCUCAGCAUAGAACCAGUAAAAUUGCUGGGACCCUGGAGGGGACUCGAUCAGCUCAGUAUUUGUACUUGUUAAUUUGGUCAAGUUCUCUAGUCCUUAAGGCAACUGAUAUUUUCUAGUCUGAUUAUGUAGCACAGGCUGGCCUCAAACUGCGAUCCUCCUGCCUCAGCCUCCCGAGUGCUGAGAUUACAGAUUUGAGUGUUGUAUAUUAAGAUGUCGGCCUCGUUUCCUGUCGUUCAUAUUUGCCUGCGGGGACGGGAUUCAGGGCUGUCGCCAUCCUCUCCGUGGCCCUCGGCCUGGGUCCCACCCCUUCUUUGGGACACGCAUGGGGCUUCACUGCAGCCGUGUGAGUCCUGGUCUUCAGCAGGUCCCCUUGGGUCACGCCUCCGAUGUGCUGUGGAAGCGUGCUCACCUGAGAGCCACGCUCCUCACUCCCCUGUGGACCCCAAACAACCAAGUGGGGGGCUCACUUUGCACGAAGCCUGCCACAGCAGCUGUAGGGCUGUGGCUCCAAACGCAAGCCCCACUGACCACCAGCCCCAGCUGCUGCCCUUGGGAUCCCCCUUGGUAUUAAAGCAUGGCCACCUCCUCCUGGCCACUCCCAGUCAAAGGUGGGGUGCAGCAGGGUCCUCGUGCUGACCUUUCCCGCCCACUGCCAACUCCUCUGCUGGACAGUGCCAUCAGGACCUGAAACAGCCUGGCCAGGACCUCUGGGAAAGGGACCCUGGCCUGGGACCAUCCACCCCGGCCUCCUCCAGCAUCUGUCUCCAUGCGCUGCCUCCUGUCAAUCAUAGGCACAACCCCCACCUCAGCCCAUCUCAGCCUCCGCUUCUCAGAGGGCUGCUCACGCUCACCCUGGGAACGUGUCUCUCUCCAUGUCCUCAGGGGCCCAAGGCAGGACAAAGGCACAGGUCCAGGACACAGAGCGGCCUCCAGGGCUCGAGGACCCUGCUCCCCUCUGUCCCAAGGCCUCUCUUGCUCUGCACUUGCUGUGUGGGGUGUUUCUGAUUUGCUAUUUGAUGUCAUUCUUAGUAAAGAAAAAUUAAAAUUUUGACAUUGCUAGCAUGAGUUUUACCCUUCAUUUUUAAAGUGUAGAGUGCCAUUGUAGAUGCACAGAUAAGAGCAGAAACAUGGAGAUUCCAC
ensembl:lncRNA